GGUAACCUGCCUUGUANCGGGGGAUAACUAUUGGAAACGAUAGCUAAUACCGCAUAACAAUGGAUGACACAUGUCAUUUAUUUGAAAGGGGCAAUUGCUCCACUACAAGAUGGACCUGCGUUGUAUUAGCUAGUAGGUGAGGUAAUGGCUCACCUAGGCGACGAUACAUAGCCGACCUGAGAGGGUGAUCGGCCACACUGGGACUGAGACACGGCCCAGACUCCUACGGGAGGCAGCAUG
rnacentral:rRNA from 1 species